GAGGAAAGUCCGAGCUACAUAGGGCAGAGUGCCAGAUAACGUCUGGGAGACGUGAGUCUACGACUAGUGCAACAGAGAGCAGACCGCCAGUUUAGGCUGGUAAGGGUGAAAGGGUGUGGUAAGAGCACACCGCGUGAGUGGUAACAUUUCACGGCAUGGUAAACUCCACUCGUAGCAAGACCAAAUAGGAACUCAAUGGGUGUGCCCGCUCAGAGUUCGGGUAGGUUGCUUGAACGUGCAUGCGAAUGUACGUCUAGAGGAAUGAUUGUCCACGACAGAACUCGGCUUA
rnacentral:RNase_P_RNA from 1 species